rnacentral:piRNA from 1 species
UCAUCCCAAUCUUACCAUACUUAUCCUAGAC